AUCCAGCUGACGAGUCCCAUAUAGGACGAAACACACCUUGUCCUGGAU
rnacentral:hammerhead_ribozyme from 1 species